rnacentral:lncRNA from 1 species
UUUUGCUCAACUUUAAAAAGUUAUCAUGUGAGUUAAUUCUUGUCUGUGUUAUUAUAAUUUUUUAAAAGUGCUAAUUUAAACCUAGUUCUCAUUUGAAUCAUCCAAAGACUUUGUUAGUUAUAUCCGUCAGUUUCCCAGAUACUGUAAACCAACUUAUUUUCAUUGAUACUUUAUUUCGCGUUUUACCCUUUCUAGACCGCUUCGCGGGUAUUUAAUUACGUGAUUUACUGAUUUACUUAAUGAAGUUUAAUAAGGAAUAAUGGAAGUUUUACAUAUUCGCGACGAUUUAAAUUCGCAUUUUUUUUCUACUCGCGAAAGUCGCGAAAAUAAAUCGCUUGCGAAAAAUAAGUCGGUUUACAGUACAUGUUGUACUAUAAAUAAAAGGUCAUGGAUGUUUGGUAUAUAUGGUAAACAUGUAAUUUUAAAGUGUAAAUGACUGUCUAGUAGGGUUCAUAUAACCAUGAUUGCAUACUUUAUUGGUCAAUGUUAAAUUUUUGGGGUGUGGUAAAUUUCUCAUAUGCUACAAGCAUUAGGUUAUCUGACUUUCUUCUACCAUCUUUACUUUGGCAAUGUUUGCAAAAAAUUGAAAAGUUACAAAUAUAUCAGAAAAAUCACUAUUAUAAACUUUUUUCUGCAUGGUCAAAUUUCACUGCAAUAGUACCUAGAACAAUUGUUCACAAACAGUUUGCUUAGAAAAUAUUAGACCAUCAAAUUAUAUGGGGGAUAACUUUUACCUACAUGAUCUACGCAACAAAAUGCACUGACAGUGAAUGCUUAAAAUAUUAAUAUCCUGUUUUGGGUCUUGUACAUCCUGACCUUGGCUUGAAAAUUUUUGAGGGCCUGUAGGUGGCCUGUUGCAAGGCCAAAUUUCUGUCCCUAUCCAAUUUGCCCUCAUUUUCCAGUGGCAGUCCAAAAUUUCCCGACCAUUAUCCCAAAUAGCCUCUAUUAUGACAAGACCUACCUAUUGUAUUUAUUGUGAACUUGUUCUCGUCCUGAUAAUGCAUGAAAUAUUUGCCACUGGACAUUAAGCAACCAACAAUCAAUCAAUCAAUGAAAAUUUUUGACUUUGAGCAUUCCAGAUGAAAAUAAAUCCAGAAAAACACUUCAGAUGUAAAAAAAAAAUAUAAAGUGUCAUUUCCAUUCAUAGAUUGUGCCUCAUCAUAUCAUUCUUUUUUAUAAUUUGUAAAAUGGCAUUUGUGGCACUCAUCAUUUUGAUAUAUAUAAAAUGUUGAUAUUUUGUUAUGUUUGAUUGUAGUGAACAAAUUGAAGGGAUAUGGUUGUGUCAGGUCUACAGAAUAUACAAUGUUUUCAUUCACCUCUCACAUCUCAGAGUCUGUUCUAGACACAACCAAAUCCAAUUAUUGUGGCAAAUAAAUAUAGUGAGAUAUAUUUUGUGCUUCUUUUUU